UUUACACCUUCUUCUCCACCAGUCUACUUUUUUUUUGUCAUUCUAGUAUCGUCCUUCUCCGUUUCGGCUUCGCUUUCUUACUAUUUAUCAAAAACAAUAGCUCAAUUUCUGUCAGAAAGAACAGAGCUUUCUUCAUUGUGCUUCAUCGGAUUCUGCUCCCGCUUGGUGAAGAAGAUAAAGCUUACAUUAGCUUCAUAUUUUUUGCUUACUUAAUCAGUAAUCAGUACCUAUUUCAAUAGAGAAUGUGGGUUCUAGAAAAAUUAUAGGGUUAUCUUUAUUUCGUACCCACUGUCCCGAAGAAUUAUGGUGUAUCCGCCUCUAUUUAUUUGCAAGUAAGGGGUAUCAUUCUGUGUUGUUGGAACAUACCUAAUUCCACAUCUCAACAAGGAAGGUAGUAAUUCAUAUUGUCCUCUGACUUGAUCCCUUUCUCCAUCAUUUUCAUUGACUCUAGUAGUAUUCUGCUAUAGAUACACUCUCCAAAAUUUACAUGCAUCCUGAUCGGCGAGAUAAAAUUGAAAAAGCUUGAAAAUGGAGGAAGAGAAUAUUUCUCAGUUCUGCUAAAUUUUCAAAUAUUCUAUCUUGGUGAGGAUAUAAACCAUUGACUCUAUUAUUUUUGCAUUUAUGCUUUAUUUUUUUUAAUUCAAUGUAUAAGCAGAUUUUUCGUUUACAAGUAUAUGAUUUUCCCUCUUUUUAAUUUUUUAUGGGUAGAUUCUGAUUCAAGUAUAUGCGUGUUGUUUUUACUGUUUGAACGCUUCUACAGCCACAUCAGUUGCCAUCUUGGCAAAAAAUUCUAACUAAAAGGGAAGAGCUUUGUGUAGUUAAGGACGAUAUGCCUAACCCCAUAGGUGACUUUAACAUAACUAUCUUUCCUUUUGCAAGGCCAUAACUUUUGAUAAAACAAAAAUAGGUUAUUUGAAAAAUGCUAUGCAGCGUAUCCUUUAUUGGGAAUCUAUUUGCAAAUUCAUUUGUAUCUAAAAGAAUGAAGCUUUUCAUGAAGAAAAUGAUUAUGGAUAAUUCUUUCAUGGUGUCUUGCAUUUUGAUUGAGCUACAGUUAGUAAUGUUGCUUUGUCAAGAAUUCAUCAUUACCUGAAAGUUCGUCCUAUCUCUUUGUCUGGAGAAUUUAUUUAAACAGUAAGGUAUACAUGAUUAAUAUCAUUGAUUUUUCUACUUUUUAUUUGAAGGAGCACGGCGAAAAGCCAACCUUCUUUUUUUUUAUUCGUUUGACGAGGGAAGACCUUAAGUACUGAAUUAAUGAAAUUACACCUAUAUCGCGAAAAAGAGCUGAUCGCACCUCGCACCUAAAGGAGUCGGUCCUUGUGAGGAGGAGGACUCCAAAACAUGACAACUAAUAAAUAAUGUUUCAAAUGGGAGUUCUAGGUCAGUAAGAAUGUGUAUCCGGACGAUCCUUCUAAUAUGUUUGUGAACUUAAUGGUGAUCAAAUGUAGUACUUUGAUAUUUGAACUCCUUGCUGCCCUCUCUAUUUUCAUUGCAUAAAUGAAAUUUUGUUUUACUGUUUUCGUAUUUUCCUGGUGAUAUGUGCCUUCUAAAACUAGGUUGCUUUAUUAUACGUUAAUGCAUGAGAUGGAUUCAUUGACUCCCCCACGUUGUUUAUGUCGCACCAAGGUCAUAAUAUGUUCUGUUGUCGCUCAGACGCAUGUUCAUAUGAAGAGGUAAGAGAAUGAAAUUCUUGCUUCCCCAAUAGACUAUAAGAGUUUCUUCAGGUUACUUUAAUUGUAAUAUUAGUGGUCAUGAUAUUUCAUUUACUGAAAUUUUGAUAUUUAUAGUAUAUAAAAGGAGUGGAAGGUUCUACUGGUUCGGGGCAUAUUGGUAUAUUAUUCAUGAGGAAAUGGCUGCAAGAAGACAACAACAUAACACGAGAGAACUUUGUUAAAAAAGCAAAAGGGGUGGAAGGUUCCUACUGGUUCGGGGCAUAUUGGCAUAUUAUUCUUGAGGAAAUGGCUGCAAGAAGACAACAACGUAACACUAGAGAAGUUUGAUGUUUAGGUAAUAAUGUACUCUUCUCUUUUCCAUUUUUCAGUGUAAUGAAUUCUUCUUGUCCCGACCCAAUUUAUGGAUCACGCAGGCACUAAGCCUAUCCCACCUG